rnacentral:rRNA from 1 species
UGGGACGCACUCGAGGCCAACUUUGGGGUCUCGGAUGCCGGCACUGAGCUGUACAUCACGGAGCAAUUCUAUGAUUACAGGAUGACUGAAGAGCGCUCCGUGGUUGAGCAGGCUCACGAGAUACAGUCAUUUGCUAGAGAACUUGAGCACUUCAACUGCAUGCUACCGGACAAGUUUGUUGCCGGGGGUAUCAUCACUAAGCUUCCUCCUUCAUGGAGGAACUUUGCUACCUUACUGAAACAUAAUAGACAAGAGUUUUCCGUUCCGGAUCUCAUUGGUACUCUUGAUGUGGAAGAAAAGGCGAGAGCAAAGGACACACGUGCUCGAGGUAUUGAGGGAGGAUCUAGUGCCAAUCUGGUACAGAAGAAAAACUUCCAGUCCCACAAGUUCAAGAACAAGGGCAAGUUUGAUGGUAAAGGAAAGUUUGAUGGGAAGAACAAGGCUGUGCAGCACACGAACUUCAAGAAGAAGAAUGACAAGAAGAAAGGUGCUUGUCACGUGUGUGGAGAUCCUGAUCAUUGGGCUCCUAGUUGCCCCAAUCGCUAUGACAAGCGUCAUCCUGGGAAAGGCGGCAAGACCGCUAAUGUUGUCAUCGGGGACACUGACAUGAAGGAUGCUGGGUAUGGUAUAUUUCCCACUAUUCUUUCAGUAUAUCAUUCUCCUGAUUGGUUGAUUGACACGGGUGCUAAUGUGCAUGUAUGCGGUGAUAUUUCCAUGUUUUCG